UUUUUUUUUGGUAUUUUU
rnacentral:sRNA from 1 species